rnacentral:rRNA from 1 species
UAGCCACGGUAAUACGGAGGGUGCAAGCGUUAAUCGGAAUUACUGGGCGUAAAGCGCACGCAGGCGGUCUGUCAAGUCAGAUGUGAAAUCCCCGGGCUUAAUCUGGGAACUGCAUUUGAAACUGGCAGGCUAGAGUCUUGUAGAGGGGGGUAGAAUUCCAGGUGUAGCGGUGAAAUGCGUAGAGAUGUGGAGGAACACCAGUGGCGAAGGCGACUCUCUGGUCUGUAACUGACGCUGAGGAGCGAAAGCGUGGGGAGCGAACAGGAUUAGAUACCCCGGUAGUCCCUGUCUCUUAUACACU